rnacentral:rRNA from 1 species
CCUACGGGGCGCAGCAGUGGGGAAUCUUGGACAAAGGGCGAAAGCCCGAUCCAGCAAUAUCGCGUGAGCGAAGAAGGGCAAUGCCGCUUGUAAAGCUCUUUCGUCGAGUGCGCGAUCAUGACAGGACUCGAGGAAGAAGCCCCGGCUAACUCCGUGCCAGCAGCCGCGGUAAUACAAAGGGGGCUAGCGUUGCUCGGAAUGACUGGGCGUAAAGGGCGCGUAGGCGGUUUAUGCAGUCAGAUGUGAAAUCCCCGGGCUUAACCUGGGAACUGCAUUUGAGACGCAUAGACUAGAGGUCGAGAGAGGGUUGUGGAAUUCCCAGUGUAGAGGUGAAAUUCGUAGAUAUUGGGAAGAACACCGGUGGCGAAGGCGGCAACCUGGCUCGAUACUGACGCUGAGGCGCGAAAGCGUGGGGAGCAAACAGGAUUAGAUACCCGCGUAGUC